rnacentral:misc_RNA from 1 species
UCCACUUUGAUGCCAAUCCUUUGGGUCUUUAGAUGCCUUAGAAAGUUCCCCAAAUAUGAGCCAUUACUCAACGACGUCCACCUUGGCAAAUAUUCAUUCCCUUUAAAGAUUUUCCCUUGGAGAACCUGCAACUCCCCUGAAGUCCCAUCCUUCUUAUAUGUUCAGUUUGAAGCAACUUGGAGCAAUUCCAAACAAUGUUUGAAAUUCUCCAAUGGUAGCACUUUGGUCAACAUGUCAGCUACAUUUUUUUAUGUGUGCACCUUCCUCAAUUGAAUCUCACUUCAAG